UUAUAAUAAUAUAUAUUUAUAUAUAAUAUAAUAAUAACAUAUUUUAUAUUAUAGAAAAAUAAUAUUUUCUUAAGCAGGGAAGGACACAGCAGAAGCAUUUUCUGUCCAUAAAUGGUCUUCUUUCAGCUACAAAUUAAAAAUAAAGGUAAUUGCUUUGGUUUCUUUAGGCACUGAAGAUGAUACAGAGCUGCAAGCUUUGAUCUUGGUAGAGAUACACCUUCACCUCUGCCAGCUCUGCAGUGGCUGUAGAGGUGUUUACAACUGUACCAGGGCUUCCGAGGAGUAAUGACAGCGUUAUGGUGCAGAAUUACCCGCUGUGGUUUAAAAAAUGCACCUGCCAGUAUGAUAAUCUGGGAAUCUGGUGAUGGCAGACUUAAAGAGUUCAGCAGCCCAGUGUUACCCUGUGAAAAACAACAGAGCACAAGUUCCUGUGACUACCUUGACAACAGCAACCGCACUGGAAAUGUGGGCUGUACCACAGCUACAUUGGGAAGCACCUUGCUAAUUGCUGCAGAAUUAAUUCAGGUAUUAUUUUCUAGAGGAAAAACAAAGUUUCAUUAUUAUCUUGGCUUUUGCAGAGUAAUAUAUUUCCUUGAUGACUUAGAGCUGCAUAAAUCUCUUCCUUACUGA
rnacentral:lncRNA from 1 species